AACCCCCUAACGGUAAAUUCGUUUUUCACACAGACCCCUAUCUAACUUCACUAAGCCCCUCUACUACAUGGCUUCUCAGGAUGGCAAUGGGUUUGUCAUAUUGAAACUCUUAGCUCCUCAUUCUAGCUGCAUAGAUUAUGCCUGACAAAGUUGGGUUUGAUUUACUCGCAUGCGGUGGGGGGCGGGGGGGGCUGAUUUGAAUUAAACGGAAAGAGGUCUUACGAGGCAAAGCAACCACUUCAUUUACUGGGCUGUGGGAUCAGGAGCUCAUCCCAAGCAGCCUGGGACAUAAAGCAGGGGAUCACGCUGGGCAAGAUGCCAGCAAGCAGAUGAAUUAAUUGCUCUGAUCUCUGGACACCCAAGAUGGCAGUCAACACUUUGAUAUAAACAUCUCCCCAUUGCCUACUGGGAAAUGGGUACAGACUCCAUUAUAGUAAAAAGGCCAGCAUUUGAAUGCUUGCAUCCCCUGACAUGAUUAUUUCCUCUCUGUGUGAGACAGACACAUAAGACCUUGGGCAUCAUGUGAUCGGUUCUGACCUAACCCUAACCUAACCCUAACCCCACGAGAUCCAGCUCUUCAAGUCUGCUUAGCUUCAGAUAAACUGCAGGCAAAAAUGACCCUUGAUACUAAUUUCGUGCUCAAUAGACAGGAACUUCAGCACUUCCUGAAUCUUAUUUUUAAAUUAAUUCUAUAAUUCAAAAAUGCACAGGAAACAAGAUGUGGUCAGUCCAAAGGAAAGGAUGUCACAUGACGGGAAUGGUUUACAGGAACAAUUACAUUAUGAAACAGUUUAACACAAUUCAAAACCCUUUUUAGUUUCAGGAAGAUUUUUUUAAAUGUAUUUAGCUGCCAUUUCAUUAUACAAACUAAAAUAAUAAAUCCACUGGAAAUAAACUGGAUUUAUUUGCUGUGUCUUACAGAGCUGAAUGACUGGCGUGCAUGACCCUCAGUGCGCUGUUAGAUGAUGGCUCAAAACGGAUCAAACUGUAAUCCAGCACAACUUUUCCUGAGAUCCUUCUCUUCACUGCAGCCUCUGAGAAGAAAGACGGCAUUAAAAAAGAAGCAUGCCAGCCAUUUCUCUCCAAGUGGCACUUUCACUAAUUGCCCGGGGUCCCGGGCUAUAAAUUCAUCAAAGUCAAAUGCGGUGAAGGCAGAUCACGGCUUCAAAGCGGCAGAAGCCAGCAAAUCAUGUCAACACUGAGAUGUUUCAUUUCUAAUUAGAAACGCAUUGGGGACGACCACGGGACCAUUUAUGCAAUUUUGAUACAAAAAAAGGUGUCACAAUUAACGAAAAACUUCAAAAGCCUGUUACAUAAAGUUGCAUAUAAAUUUGUAUAACAGUUUACAUGUAUAAACUGUAUUACUGUAUAUAAUUUAGAUUUUCCCUGUAUGCUUUGUUCUUAUUACCUGGUUACUUCUAGGAAGAAUAUUGAACAUUGCAAAUACAAACAAUGGCCAACCUUACUUGUGAUAAGAGGUUUCAAAGUCUUCUGUCCCAUGUACUGAAAUUGGCUUAGUAAAAAUACUGCGUGAAACAGGCAGUAAAAUUUCAGACUGCGCCAUACAAACAUCUUACACAGCGAGUAAGAACUGAAUAAAAAAAACACGAUAUUUAGCAGGGAUGCAUGCAAAGCAACCUGACUGUGCCAAGCCUGUUUGUUCAUGACACCCCACUGAUUUACAAUUAGAGGAUAAAUUAAAAUGCAACAAUAGCACGUUCCCACCUGCUCUGUUUACUCCCACUGACAGCAGGAGAAUCUUUCAGUGCCUGCCUGCCUCUGGGAACAAUUCCCAAUCUUAUCAAGCUCAGAUGAUGGGGUUAGAUCGGAGACUGGAAACAUGUUAACAUGAGCAGUGUCAGUCAAUCUGGCAGACAUGAAAGUGGCUCAGCCUGGGAGUACGGCGGCUUCUCCGGAACAGCAUCUCUGUGAGCUCUGCCCGUGGGGAUGUGUGUCCUGUAAACUAAAUAACCCAUUUAAUGGCAGUCAGAGGCUCCUAAUACCGGAAGUCACAAAGAAGGUUUUAUCAACGUCUGCCAGAUUCGUGAGCUGCAGAGAUAUUUAUCGCGUAAAGCUGUUUUCGUCCUAUUGGAUAAUGAACACAAGAGGGCGCCCUACCUCCUCCUUUUCCCGGGAUAUUCUGAGCUGGAACUGAAAAAGGACAUUAACAAAGUGAAGUACAGUACAGUUUUUUGUCAUAACAUUUGGUUUCUGUUGCCUGGGAGACGUAUUUGUAAAUGUAAUCAUGUUGUUAAAAUGUAUGUACAUAUGCUUGUAUUUUAGGAAAAACCUAUUUCUGCUGUUAAUUCUUUUUAAAAAAAAAAAAAAUAUAUAUAUAUAUGUGACAUUUGAGUGCUAAUUCCAUAUAUAAAGACAGUUAAUAAACAUCUACAUAAAAAGUUAAAUAGAUUUAUUGUAUAGAAAUAGAAUUUGUGUGCAUAUAUAGUAUCAACCAUCAAUAUUCAUACAUAAAACAGUAAAAAGAUAAUACAAGACAGCCGUGUGAAAGCCGUUCGGUUUUCAUGUUCUAAAGUAAUUUGAAUAAGCCCCUUGGGUGCAUCUCAUUGAUGAAGACAUUCCUGUUAACACGGCAGAUUGCCCCCAAAUGAUCCAUUGAAAUCACAGCUUCUGUUGCAGUACAUUAAAGCACAUUACAGUAACAGUCCAAUUAGAGCAACAUGCUUAUGUGUGAUGUGUCUUCAUAGAUAUGAGAUCUUGGACAGAGUCACAUAUAAUGAUUUCCAAUACAUUAAAGCUGUAUUUGGCAUGUGUUUUAUGUCUGCUGCUUCUGAGAGGGUCAUCACACAACAUUUUUUUGCCUUCAACAAAUGCAUGUUCAUGCAAACUUGGUAACUUUCUGCGCUUACUGAACUUAAAUAUUGGAUUUUGCAUGACCAUUAUCACGUUAUGUGAGUUUAUCACAACCCUCCUACAUGGUAUAUUGUAAAAAGGGAAAGAUUAUGAAUGAUCUUCAUUGCAGUUCAUCAUUUCCAUGUAGCCAUAAUUAUUACAUCUUAAAAUUAAUGAUUAACACAUUUUUAUAAAAUGCGCUUAUUAAAUAUGUUUUGAAAAUAUGUAUUUUAAACUGUUAAACUUCCAACCACUUAUCCCGAGCCUGGUCACAUGGCAACGGGAAUACCAUAGCACACGUUUAUGGGCUGGUUUAUGGAGAUACCAAGAAAAGACUAAGUGUAAAUGAAGGCUGUGGCGUUGCAGUUUUGAUGAGGCAUAGGUAUGUGACUUUAUCUCAGUAGACUAAUUCCUGAAAAGGGUUAGAAGGUGACAUAGUGGUUAAGAUUGUGGAAUUCUGAUUGAAUUCUUAUGAGAAAGGCAUUUAACCUAUCAG